rnacentral:rRNA from 1 species
UACAGAGGUCUCAAGCGUUGUUCGGAUUCAUUGGGCGUAAAGGGUGCGUAGGCGGCGCGGUAAGUCGGGUGUGAAAUCUCGGGGCUUAACUCCGAAACUGCAUUCGAUACUGCCGUGCUUGAGGACUGGAGAGGAGACUGGAAUUUACGGUGUAGCGGUGAAAUGCGUAGAUAUCGUAAGGAAGACCAGUGGCGAAGGCGGGUCUCUGGGCCACUACUGACGCUGAAGCACGAAAGCGUGGGGAGCAAACAGG